CGUGCCUAAUACAUGCAAGUCGAACGCAUUGUGGUUGAAAUGAUAUGAAGAACUUGUUCAGAUUUUGAUUUUCAACAUUGCAAUGAGUGGCGAACGGGUGAGUUAACACGUGGGAAACCUACCUCUUAGCAGGGGAUAACAUUUGGAAACAAAUGCUAAUACUGUAUAAUAAUUAAACCGCAUGGUUUUAGUUUAAAAGAUGGUCUUGCUAUCACUAAGAGAUGGUCCCGCGGUGUAUUAGUUAGUUGGUGAGGUAAUGGCUCACCAAGACAAUGAUACAUAGCCGAGUUGAGAGACUGACCGGCCACAAUGGGACUGAGACACGGCCCAUACUCCUACGGGAGGCAGCAGUAGGGAAUCUUCCACAAUGGACGAAAGUCUGAUGGAGCAACGCCGCGUGUGUGAUGAAGGGUUUCGGCUCGUAAAACACUGUUGUAAGAGAAGAAUGACAUUGAGAGUAACUGUUCAAUGUGUGACGGUAUCUUACCAGAAAGGAACGGCUAAAUACGUG
rnacentral:rRNA from 1 species